rnacentral:rRNA from 1 species
GGGAUGACGUCAAGUCCUCAUGGCCCUUAUGACCAGGGCUUCACACGUCAUACAAUGGUCGGUACAGAGGGUAGCCAAGCCGCGAGGUGGAGCCAAUCUUAUAAAACCGAUCGUAGUCCGGAUCGCACUCUGCAACUCGAGUGCGUGAAGUCGGAAUCGCUAGUAAUCGCAGAUCAGCAUGCUGCGGUGAAUACGUUCCCGGGUCUUGUACACACCGCCCGUCACACCAUGGGAGUGAGUUUCACCAGAAGUGGGUAGGCUAA